GACGAACGCUGGCGGCGUGCUUAACACAUGCAAGUCGAACGGAAAGGCCUGCUUUCCCUUGUGGAUUGCGGGUACUCGAGUGGCGAACGGGUGAGUAACACGUGAGUGAUCUGCCCCCAACUUGGGUAUAAGCCUGGGAAACUGGGUCUAAUUCCCGAUAGGACUGCAGGGUGGUGCCUGUGGUGGAAAACGAUUUUCUAGUGGUUGGGGAUGAGCUCGCGGCCUAUCAGCUUGUUGGUGGGGUAAUGGCCUACCAAGGCGGCGACGGGUAGCCGGCCUGAGAGGGUGGACGGCCACAUUGGGACUGAGAUACGGCCCAGACUCCUACGGGAAGCAGCAGUGGGGAAUAUUGCACAAUGGGCGGAAGCCUGAUGCAGCGACGCCGCGUGGGGGAUGACGGCCUUCGGGUUGUAAACUCCUUUCGACCGCGAGGAAGCCACCUGGUUGGAAGGGUGGUGACGGUAGUGGUAGAAGAAGCACCGGCUAACUACGU
rnacentral:rRNA from 1 species